rnacentral:rRNA from 1 species
UGUCCGAGUUGUAAUCUAGAGAAGUGUUUUCCGCGCUGGACCGUGUACAAGUCUCUUGGAAUGGAGCGUCGUAGAGGGUGACAAUCCCGUCUUUGACACGGACUGCCGGUGCUUUGGUGAUGCGCUCUCAAAGAGUCGAGUUGUUUGGGAAUGCAGCUCAAAAUGGGUGGUAAACUCCAUCUAAAGCUAAAUACAGGCGAGAGACCGAUAGCGAACAAGUACCGUGAGGGAAAGAUGAAAAGAACUUUGAAAAGAGAGUUAAACAGUACGUGAAAUUGUUGAAAGGGAAACGAUUCAAGUCAGCCGCGUUAGUCGGAAAUCAACCUCACACUCUUGUGAGGCUCACUUUCUGGUUGACGGGUCAGCAUCAAUUUUGACCGUCGGAUAAAGUCCUGGGGAAUGUGGCAUCUUUGGAUGUGUUAUAGCCCCUUGUCGCAUGCGAUGGUUGGGAUUGAGGAACGCAGCACGCCGUCAAGGUCGGGGCCUUCGGGCUCACGUACACGUGCUUUGGAUGCUGGCAUAAU